rnacentral:rRNA from 1 species
GUACACGUGGGCCAACUGUCCUUUCGACCAGAUACCCUCGGGAAACUGAGGCUAAGCUUGGAUACGGCUUCCACGCUGGAAAAGCAGGAAGCCCGAAACGCUCCGGCGCGAAAGGAUGUGGCUGCGGCCGAUUAGGUAGACGGUGGGGUAACGGCCCACCGUGCCGAUAAUCGGUACAGGUUGUGAGAGCAAGAGCCUGGAGACGGAUUCUGAGACAAGAAUCCGGGCCCUACGGGGCGCAGCAGGCGCGAAACCUUUACACUGCACGCGAGUGCGAUAAGGGGACUCCGAGUGCGAGGGCAUAUAGUCCUCGCUUUUGUUCACCGUAAGGUGGUGUACGAAUAAGGGCUGGGCAAGACCGGUGCCAGCCGCCGCGGUAAUACCGGCAGCCCGAGUGAUGGCCGCUGUUAUUGGGCCUAAAGCGUCCGUAGCCGGCCAGACAGGUCCGUCGGGAAAUCCACACGCUCAACGUGUGGGCGUCCGGCGGAAACCAGCUGGCUUGGGGCCGGAAGACCUGAGGGGUACGUCCGGGGUAGGAGUGAAAUCCUGUAAUCCUGGACGGACCGCCGGUGGCGAAAGCGCCUCAGGAAGACGGACCCGACGGUGAGGGACGAAAGCUAGGGUCACGAACCGGAUUAGAUACCCGGGUAGUCCUAGCUGUAAACGAUGCUCGCUAGGUGUGGCGCUGGC